CCCACCCUGGGCUCCAUCCCAAGAGGACGUGGUUGGGAAUCACCUGACUCCUGACAAUGUCCCUAUCACAAACAGGCCACCAUACAUAACACACAUAUGAUACGUGGUAACAGACAUGUUUAACAACAGCGUGACAUGGAGUUUAAUCCCAGGGCCCUGUGUACUCUUCCAAGGCCUGGGAUGAUAGAGACUCAAGGGGGCAGUUGGAUGUCAACAUUCCGAGGGCCAGGCAUCUAGUGAAAGCCUCCCACCCUGCCAGAAGACGCACUCCUCAUGAGAAUAACAACAGAGGGGCCCAACUGUCUCACCUGGACACCUGGUCCUGCCACUGCUCAGAUGUCCUUGGAUGUACAGUAGGCAAGGAACAGAGCUUUAUCUUAUGCUGUAUUCUUGUUCCAUACAGAGGCCUGGGAGGAAAGAAUCUGAGGAGGAGAUGGCAGAGGCAGCCACGGACUUGAGUGAGGAUGACUUGGUGGAGAUGGAGGCCAUGCGACCCCCUGAGUCAGAUGGUACCUUCCAACAAGUCACCAACCUCCUGAACAGCAUGGACAACGAGUCAGCAGAGGUGGACACGGCCCCGGCAGGUCCAGACCCGCGGAAGAUCCUGGCCGAGGGAUAAUCACAGAGAAGGCCGCCGCGGACCCUGCUGUGGUGCUGAACGCCCUGGUCCACUGCCUGCGGGCGCUGGAGAUCUCCACCCAGCGCAAGUUCUACAUCACCACGUUCUCCAGGACAUCAUCCAGCAGGAGGGGGAUCUGGGUGAGCAGUGUGUGCAGAGCCUGGUCUCCAUCGCCUCCCAGGAGACGAGGGCGCUCCCUGAGGUGGCGGGGCCCCAGCCCCCUCGUGCCCUCCCUGUGCCAGUGCAGGAGGUGGGGAAGCCUGGGAAGCCCAAGGCCAUUGCGCUGUCACCUCAUGGGGCCCAGGAGUAGGAGGGUGGAGCUGGUGUGGGGUGAGGGGAGGGUAUGAAGGCCCAGCUGAUGGCACCGCACAUGUCCCCUGAA